CGGGGCUCCCAGCCGGUAAUGGGAGGCCUGGAGGGGGAUGGACUUUAAAAAGGAAGCAGAAAGGCCAGGAGGACGAGCUUCACUGGAGGUGGGUAAGUUUUGUUUCAGACCUGUAGGGCUGAAAGUGUUGACGAACACCUGGGAGAAAAUGUCCAGUCACCGUCACUGCAAAUGCGGGUCCGACCUUCAGGAGAGGGAUUUGGACUGAAGAUGUGGGUAGGAGCACCCUCUCUUAGACAAGAAAAAUUGAGACUAAGAGGAGAUGAGAUCGCUGGGGGAUCAUAAUUAAGUAAAAACUUGUAUCUCUAAAAUCCGUCCUGACAUUUUCAUUUAUAGGAUAUACAUAUGUAUGUAUCUGUUAUAAUCUGAAAUGUGUCCCUCAAAAUUCAUAUUUGAAGCCCUAACCUCCUCAUACCUCAGACUGGGACUGUAUUUGGAGAUGAGGCCUUUAAAAAGAUAAUUAAGGUAAAACGAAGGCAUUAGAAUGGGCUCUAAUCCAAUAUGUCAGGAGUCCUUAUAGGAAGAGGAGAUGAGGACACAGACACCCACAGAGGGAAGACGGUGUGAGGACACAGGGAGAGGACACCAUCUGCAAGCCCAGGAGGGAGGCCUCAGGAGAAACCAAUCCCGCCCACACCUGGAUGUGGGGCUUCCAGCCCCCAGCACUGCGAGGGAAUAAAGCUCCGUUGUGUAAGCUGCCGCAUCUGUGGUAUUUUAUUAUGGCAGCCCCAGCUACUAAUACAGUACCCCUACCGAUACAUACAUAUUUACCCACAUGUAGCCACACACAUGUGCACAUAUGUAAUCUUUUUGCCUAUAAAAAAGUAAGCAAUGCCUAAAAGUACAGGUGGAGAGAAGGCUAAAAAGCACAGGCUCGAAGAGACUGCCAAGAUACAACGAUCCAACAAAGACACAUCGUAUCAACAGUAAUGAUUUCCUAAAUGUGAAGGUAAUUUGGAUGGCUGGUUUAUAGUUUUCAUGCCCGGGAGUUUUCCAAGGCACAAUGUAUACCCUUUGCGGCAGCUUACUCUCCUGAAAUGUGCCUUCAUGAAAUUAGAUAAACAGGGAGAAGAUAUGAAGUACAUCUGCCUAACACCACGUUAGAAGAAUCCCCGGGCAUUUGCAUCUUAUGCGAUGAUAUGCUGGCAAACCUUGGCCAACUUCCAGUCUUGUCCUUAUGACAGGGGACUGCUGUGUUGAGUUCCCGUCUCAGGCCUCACAUCCACCUUGGCCCUGCCUUGGGAGCCUGUAGGUGUGGGCAGAAAAGAGGGACGCUGCCUUCCUGGCUGGGCCUUUCUUCACACACAGGCACGAGGACCCAAGCUCUAAAGGAUGAAGUCCCCAUGGUCUCCGAAGUUUUCAUUAUCAUCCCCCUCCUAAAGCUCCACCUUGGAGGCAAUGCACUGUAACAAAAGGACCAGCACAGUGCCCAGCACACAGAAAGCUAUCAAUCAAUGUCAGCCUUAACCAUUAUGUUGGUUGACUUGCCAUCCCUCUUCCUCAACUGCAAACUAUGUGAGAGAAAGAUUCAUGUAACCUUGGUAUUACACAACUCCAUCGUGGUGGGUUCAGUUGCAUUUGUCAAAUGAUUCAGAGUAGGACAACGGGAAUUUUCUUUACAACAUCACAGCAUUGUAAAGUCUUUGCUUUGCACGAAAGUGUGGGACUGAAGAAAUGAUUGUGCAGGUUGAAACUGUGAAGCAAUUUUAAGAAGCAACAAGGAAAAUUAUGAUUGUUUCAUAAUCUUCAAAAAAUUUUUAAAGUGUUAAGAACUGUUUUACUACUGGUCGUAAAUGUAUAAGAACAUUUAAAGAUAGCAAAUUGAAUACUUAUUUAGCCUGUCAUAAUUUAAAAAAUGAGAAACAUUGAGAAAUAGUGUUUUAUUUCUUUGUAAAAGACUUAUGGAGAGUAAAUUGAAAAGGGCUUUGCCACCUUCUCAUUGUGAAACUUACAGUAUGGACCAGGCAUCUUUUCUAUGCCUUGGCAAAUUGUCACAUUCCUUUCUAUAUUUGGAUAGGCUUCCUACAUUUUGUCCUGCACACUUUCAGUGCUGUGAAAUAUCUCCAAGAGUUUCUUUAAUAUGAAGUUUUUGCCAGCAUCUUUAUCCUGAGUCCCUCAAAAGACACAUCCAGAAUCUCUCAAAAGACAACAGCAUCAACUUUCCCACCAUCAGCUCUUUCUUCUCUAAACUCGUUUACGUCUGAGUCAACUUUCACCUCCUGCAUUCUCACUUUUUGUUUCUUUGCUAUACUUUCCUCUUCAUUGGCUACCUACCUCUCUUGAGUAUUCAUUUCUGUGAAAUGUCACGUGGGUUUGUCACUGGGAGCCAAGAGAGCAGCACGACCACACGCUUUGCUGUCUGUGUGGGAACUGAUAACACGGAAGGACUGAAGGACGUGAUGCGGUUAAUCACUGAUCAUGAUGCACAUCUGUUAUUACGUGGUGGUCUGUGGACUGCAGAGCAAGCAGCAGAGGUUGUCCCCCAUGCAAUCACUCACAGUUAAUGGUGACUGAAAUUGGAACCAUGUUGUUAGGGGGCUGGUGUUAUUUAACCUCAGUUGCCACAGGGCAAUGAAAAUUCGUGCGUUUGGGAACUAUGCAAGGUGAGGACUGCCUGAAUGUUCCAUAAUGUGAUGAGUGCCUCACAAACAGGGUGUAUAUUAUCACUGAGUUUUUUCAUUAUUCUUGACCUUCAAUAUAUAGACAUUCUUGUUGAUGGUAUCAGGUUGUUUCUGCGUGAAUGAGCUUUACUCCUCUGAGAAAUGGCAUUCCUGACCCUCCUCUUUGAAUCAAUUGCACAAAAGUAUCUGAAGGAAAUUUGCUUACCUGCUGCUUUCUAUGGAAGCUUUCCUGCAGCAUGACCUAGUGUCUGUUUCUGGUUGAUGAUUAACCAUGGGGAACAAGCGUUUGAGAUAAAGAAGUUGCAGAACUUUUUAGAGAAUGUAAUAUGUUAAUGUGCACUGGGACUCUCCCUGAGCUAUAUCAAGUUUCCUGGAUUCUGAAAUGCUAUAAUUUUAAAAGUGUCAUAAGGUUAAAACAGCUUUCUAAGAAGUGCCUUUGUUGGAAGAAUACCCAGGAAUGGUGCGCUGGACAGCUUUUGUACAAGUCUUGCAUUUUCUCAGAACUAUCUCUCAUCUUGGCCAUGGCAUCAGUCACAUCCUGAGUGGCUCACCUUGACUUGGGUUGCCUCCUACUGCAGUUCUCCUAAACUCUGGUGGGGGACACGGGCACAACCCACCCAAUACUCGUAUGUGCUUUACCUGGAAAUAAGGAGCAGAGGAGCUAGGGGAAGGAGCCGAUGGCUAAAUGUUCCUGCCUUUUUUCCCUCAGGCAGACAGUUCUAAGGUGCACGCUGUAGGUUGCUGGGACAACCCUGGCAAGAUCUUCCCCCAGACAUCCACCUUGGCGGCCGACUUAUUAACUCAUUGGUCUAUUGACUUUUGCUCCUUGCCUCGCCCCUGAUCCCUGUGCCCUCUUUCUAAUAAGCUACCUGCUGGUGAGGCUCUGCCUUGGGGGAAACCCAGGCUGAGGCAGGUGGGAUGUUAUAACCAGGGAGGCCUGAGUCCUGGGUCUUUGCCUGGGGUCCCCAAAUAGGAGAGGGAUUGGAGGAGGUAUUGUGGGGGAGAGUGUUGCAAAAGCCCAGAGGAAAGGAGUGCUGUUACCACAACAGAGGAGACAUGAACCUGCACAGACCAAAAACAGGAGAGAGAGAGGGAAAGAGAAAGAGAAGGGGGAGAAAGAAAGGGAGAGACAGAGGAAGGGAGAGAUGGGGAAAGAGGAGAGGAGAAAGGGAGGGAGAGAAAGAAAGGAGAUGGAGAGAGAAAAGGGUGGGGAGAGAGAUAAAGAGAGAGGUAAAGAGAGAGAGAGAAU
rnacentral:lncRNA from 1 species